rnacentral:tRNA from 1 species
UCGUGUCACCAGUUCAAAUCUGGUUCCUGGCA